rnacentral:lncRNA from 12 species
AUGAGAAAGAAUAACAACCAGUUAUUCGAUUUGGAAUAACCAACAUAUGACAGACUUCCAAAAAAUAUGUGAUAAGUGACUGAAAUAAAUCAUGGUUCCCUCACUUUCUUCCACUCUAUCAUCAGGAAGAACAUUUUCACAUGAAGUGACUAAACAGUGACGGGAGAUACUGCCAAGAGAAGAUUGGGGGAGAGGUUAGUGCAUUUUGUGUGAAAGCAGAGAUUUUGAGCAGAUCUAGUGGCCUUCAUUUACC